AGAAAACUAUGUCUAACAAUAAUACACCGAAGAACCCCAAACACCGAGAGAAAGUUCCUGUGCGGACGACUAACGACAGCCAGUUAUCUCGGGAUCUCAGGAGGCUUCUCUCUCUGCUUGAAAGGAACACUCACCGACAAGAGGAGGAGUCGUUCAGCCCUGGGAAACCGCGCAGUGCCACGGCAAAACGAUCACAGGGACCACAUCCCAAUCACUCCAGCACGUGCAAGCCCGAGCUCGCCGUCAACUUGGCGCUGCAGAAGUUCAGUGAGGAGUUUGAAAACCACAGAUGCUUCAGCAGCCACCCCCAGCACAGACUGUUCAAGAGUCUCCUGAUUUCUCUGGUGAAAAAUCGUUUGUGCAGUGAAUGGCUUGACACAGCUGCACCAGAGUCUGUCCUCAAAGUUCUGACCUGCCUCCGAAUACUGGUCCGAGACACCGAGCUUCAGG
rnacentral:lncRNA from 1 species